AAAGUGGUUAUGUGGAGCAAACCCAUUCGCAGGCUUAAUCUUAUGUGCAAUCCAUUUCUCCUUCAGAAAGCUUGGCAGCUUGCUUUCAAAGGACUGCGCUUCCCAACGAUUCUUUAUAACCUCUUCUUCUCCCAGAAUCACAAGGUUACUAAGGGCCCGCUCUACUGCUUGGAUCAGCUAAAUUGCUUUCCUAGGAUUGUCUUUCUUUACGGGGGAUAGGCCCUGAACCUCCUCAGAUAUCUUCAGGACGAUUUUCGCCUUGUUCCUGAAAUGGUUGUCGAGGCACCUGAACAUUUCAUCCGUCAAUGCACAGCUAUUUAAAACUAAAUCUUUUUUUCACCAUGUCACCAAGACUUACCAGCAAGUGGAACCUUGUAACACCAGCUGUCAUCUGUGGGUUUCCCAGCUGUUCCAGCUCUUUCCACUCAGCCUUCCACCGAUAGUAGUCAGUCACAUCUCCCGAAAACGUGGGUAGACGUCUUAUUUUGUGGUCUGAAGCCGUACGUUCCAGGAUGCAGGCCAGAGAUGCUUUGUGGUGGUGCAUAUGAAAAUGCAGAUGCUUCAGUAGUGGAUACAUGUGUUACACUGGGAAUUUGGGACCGUGUACCAGCUCUAAUAAGUCCUUCACCAAACUCACUAUGCCCUCCAUCAAUACCUACAUCUUCAACCUCUUCUCCCUCAUCGACCUCUUCUUUCCGCUUCAACUUUUGCCAACUCCGCACCCAGUCAAGCAUUUUGAUUCUCUCCACCAAACCCUCUCUCAGGACUUGAAGGCCUUCUUCUGACCACUUCACAUCAAUGUUUUCCACUUCAGUACAUUUCUCCUCUGCUCCGUUGGCAUACAAUCCAAGGUCGGUAUAGGCAAAUUUGGACCACAAUGUCUCCUUAGCAAGCCGGAGCAUUUCUGUAUAAGUGGCAAGGCACAUCGCCAUUUUCUCCUCCACAUGAGCCGCUUCUUUACUUACUUUUUCUUCCUCACUUCUUACUUCUCCUAGAGCGUCAACAUAUUCUAGUCCAGCGUCGUGCACCUUUCCAAAGUCUACACCAAGUGCUCUAAUCUCGUCAAUAAGAACCAUUUUUUCUAGGAGGUCUACAGUGAGGGACAGUUUGUUGUCUCUCUUGCUGAAAGAGCACUGUGCUGUUGAGCGCUUUUCUAUUCCUUUCCUGGUCAAUGCUGAUAGGGCGGUAGCAGACUUGGCUUAACGCACUUGAACCGUUUGGUUUAUUACUGUUUCCCACGGAAAGGGCAACCCAGUGUACAAAAGGAUAUUACUCGGUAUUCCACAUUUGUUUGUUUAUUUUUCCACAAGGAUAAUCAAGUAACCAGGGGGGUAUUCCAAAAAGCAGGUUAUGUGACAUACCUGGGUAUGUUUAAGGGUAAGUUCGUGGAUAACCUCAACGUUCGGUUCCAAAAACAGAGGUAACUUUCUGGGUAUGUAUGUAACCAUAGCAACUGACUCUCUGAAGAUAACCUGCUCGAGAGCAGGUUAUGUUUCAGUGUAACUUCGUUUCAGAAGGUUGGUGAGCAUGGCGUGCCCUUUUGACGAGGAUCCUGUGGACGUUGAAGCACAAAUUAUACGAGGUUUUUUUCAUCGGGAGAGGGUUAUAAGACCGCGUAUUGAUGUGUUUGCUUACCCUAAUGAAUAUUUAAAAGAGCGUUAUCGUUUUUCAAAAGAUUCAUUAGUUUAUUUAACACGUCUUUUAAAACCGCAUAUCGCAAAUGUGACAAACCGCGGCUCUGCGCUUAGCACAGAAAACAUUCUGUGCAUAGCACUUAGGUUUUUUGCGUCUGGCCAUUUUUUGUACAGUGUGGGCGAUUCAGAGCAUUUGGGAAAGGCAACUGUGUGUAGAGCCGUUCGUACAGUGUGUCUGGCACUUAAACAGUUGUUACCCACGUUUGUACAGUUCCCUGGCCAUAAACCUCUGCUUGUUAUUAAAGACGAAUUCCACAGAGUGGCAGGUUUGUCCUUUGUAGUAAAAUAUAUGACGCAUAUUUAAUAUUUAGUCAUAUUAUUAAUAUCUAUACAUGUAUUCCUUAUGCACACACUUCAUACUUCCAAAACUUUCUGUUUCAGGGUUUCCAAAUGUAAUUGGGUGCAUUGAUGGCACUCACAUUCCUAUUAAAGCUCCAUCAAUAAAUGAGGGAGACUAUGUUAAUAGGAAAUCUAUUCAUAGUAUCAAUGUGCAGGUAACAACUUAAUUUUUUCCCCUUCUUAAAAUCAUCAAAGUCAUUACUUUUUCCACUAACUAUAGGUAAUAUGUGAGGCAACCCAAAUCAUCACCAAUGUCGAGGCAAAAUGGCCAGGAUCUGUGCAUGAUGCCAGAAUUUUCCGCGAGUCAUCAUUAUGCCAGACAUUUCAGCAGGGACAGUACAAUGGUUACUUGCUGGGGGACAGAGGAUACCCUUGUCUGCCCUAUUUAAUGACACCCUACCCUGAACCUGAGCCUGGACCACAGACACGGUUUAACCUGGCUCACAGCCGAACACGGGCCAAGGUGGAGAUGACUAUAGGGAUCCUCAAAUCUCGGUUUCAGUGUCUGCGUGGGCUCCGGGUUAGUCCAGAGAGGGCAUGCGACAUUAUUGUGGCUUGUGUUGUGCUUCACAAUAUUGCCACUAUAAGAGGAGAGAGCCACCCUCCUUGUAUUGAGGAAGAUGGCCCAGAGGAACACCGACAGAUUUUAGAGGCCAACAGAGACGGAAGACUUUUGAGAGACAGGAUUUGUCAAAAUUACUUUUAUUAGUUUUUUUUGCACUGGUCUGCCAGGCAGUUUAUUUCUUCAUUUCCUGAAAAACAAUAAAAGUAAAAUUCAUUAAAA